rnacentral:rRNA from 1 species
CAGUAGCCGCGGUAAUACGAAGGGUGCAAGCGUUAAUCGGAAUUACUGGGCGUAAAGCGCGCGUAGGUGGUUCAUUAGGUUGGAUGUGAAAGCCCUGGGCUCAACCUGGGAACUGCAUCCAAAACUGGUGAGCUAGAGUACGGUAGAGGGUAGUGGAAUUUCCUGUGUAGCGGUGAAAUGCGUAGAUAUAGGAAGGAACACCAGUGGCGAAGGCGACUACCUGGACUGAUACUGACACUGAGGUGCGAAAGCGUGGGGAGCAAACAGGAUUAGAUACCCGGGUAGUCCCUGUCUCUUAUAC